UCACAGAGAGUCUGAACUGUUUUCAUGCACUCACACUGAAAACUGCAUCAGGAUGAUGUCGCCAAUAACUCUGCUGGUCAUGUUGGGUUUUCUGAGUCAGGAGUCUUCUGCCAACAAAUUUCUGACUCAGACUGACAAAUUCAAGUCUGUUAGUCUUGGAGGGACGGUGACCAUCAGCGCCACAGGGAGUUCAGAUAUUGGUGCUGAUCUCAGUUGGUACCUUCAGAAACCUGGACAAGCUACCAAACUUCUUAUAUACAAAGCAUCAACUCUAAACUCAGGAACUCCAUCUCGAUUCAGUGGCAGUAGAUCUGGUUCUGGCUACACUCUGACCAUCAGUGGUGUUCAGGCUGAAGAUGUUGGAGAUUACUACUGUCUGGGCUACCAUGGUAGUGGAGUGUUCACACAGUGAUUUAGAGUCGUACAAAAACCUCCUUCAGUUUGACUGAAGUGAAAACGGCCUGCUGCAGCUGCAGAGGGUUGAUGAAGAGACUGUGAUGAGGAUAACUGGUCGAGUGAACACAACACUGUGACUCUGACACACAAGAGUCAUCAAGCAGAACCACAAUGAACCCAAAUUAGACUGAAACAAACUGAAAGACAUUUUCCAACCUGCA